AUUGGAAUUGUUGGGUCAUAUGGCCAGUGUAUGUUUAACUUUAUAAGAAACUGCCAAACUGUCUUCCAAAGCAGCUGUACCAUUCUGCAUUUCCACCAGCAAU
rnacentral:pre_miRNA from 1 species